rnacentral:rRNA from 1 species
AGAUUGAACGCUGGCGGCAUGCCUUACACAUGCAAGUCGAACGGUAGAGUAGCAAUACUUGAGAGUGGCGAACGGGUGAGUAAUAUAUCGGAACGUGCCCAGUCGUGGGGGAUAACGUAGAGAAAUUUACGCUAAUACCGCAUACGAUCUAAGGAUGAAAGCGGGGGACCGUAAGGCCUCGCGCGAUUGGAGCGGCUGAUAUCAGAUUAGGUUGUUGGUGAGGUAAAAGCUCACCAAGCCGACGAUCUGUAGCUGGUUUGAGAGAACGACCAGCCACACUGGGACUGAGACACGGCCCAGACUCCGUACGGGAGGCAGCAGGUGGGAAUUUUGGACAAUGGGACGAAAGCCGUGAUCCAGCAAGUCGCCGCGUGCCGAGGAAGAAGGCCUUCGGGUU